rnacentral:rRNA from 1 species
UACGGAGGGUGCAAGCGUUAAUCGGAAUUACUGGGCGUAAAGGGCGCGUAGGCGGCUUAGUCAGUCGGAUGUGAAAGCCCCGGGCUUAACCUGGGAACUGCAUUCGAUACUGCUGAGCUAGAGUAUGGAAGAGGGAAGUGGAAUUCCGGGUGUAGCGGUGAAAUGCGUAGAUAUCCGGAGGAACACCAGUGGCGAAGGCGACUUCCUGGUCCAAUACUGACGCUGAUGUGCGAAAGCGUGGGGAGCAAACAGG